GGGGGGGGGGGGGGGGGGGGGGGGGGCGGGCAGGGGGGGCGGGCGCGUGGGGGGUGGGGGCGGACGGGUGGGGAACAGGGGGGAACGUGCCGUUGGGGUCGGAAUAACUCAGGGAGACGUGUGCUAAUACCGAAUGUGCCCUUCGGGGGAAAGAUUUAUCGCCAUUAGAGCGGCCCGCGUCUGAUUAGCUAGUUGGUGCGGUAACGGCUCACCACGGCGCCGAUCAGUAGCUGGUCUGAGAGGAUGACCAGCCACACUGGGACUGAGACACGGCCCAGACUCCUACGGGAGGCAGCAGUGGGGAAUCUUGCGCAAUGGGCGAAAGCCUGACGCAGCCAUGCCGCGUGAAUGAUGAAGGUCUUAGGAUUGUAAAAUUCUUUCACCGGGGACGAUAAUGACGGUACCCGGAGAAGAAGCCCCAGCUAACUUCGUG
rnacentral:rRNA from 1 species